AAGAGCCAGGACAUUUUUUUUUUAAUAUAUAACUCUGAUUGUAUUUGUCUGAAAGAAGAACGUCAUAUACAACUAGGAUGCCUUUUUGGGGUGAACUAUCCUGAUUGGAGGAUGAUUUCUCCAAUCAGGAAUAAGUUACAAAUCACCUGAUACACUUCACACGUUCUGUGUUAGAUUUUAGAAAGUAAAAACGUGUGUGUGGGUGUGUGUGUGUGUGUGUGUGUGAGAGAGAGAGAGAGAGAGAGAGAGAGAGAGAGAUGGCAAUGCCUGCUUUAUAGUUAAACUCAUCAAAGUUAAACUAUGUUUAUUGUGUGUCUGUGUAGAUAUUUUUCAUGCACGUUGUUAGUGCAAAUAUUUUGCACUAGCUGGAAGGUGAGCUAGUUCAUGGCUACAAGAUUCACGUAUGCCUAGAGGAAAAAAAUGACAAACCAAAGGGUGCCUCUUAGCAUUUUAAAGGGAACGUCAGAUGAUGUAAGAGAGCAUGGAAAGUCUGUAAGACCUCUGCCAAAAUUGUACGGCAUUUUCCAUGUAACCCACAUACUCUAUCAAAAGAGAAAGAGAAGGGGUCAAGGGAACUUCUGAGGCUACCACAGUGGAAAGAAUGUCUUCAGUGAUGAACAAGUGAACAAAACACUUUUUCCAUAAUAAUUAACAUACUGAGUGAUGUUGUUUUCAUUGAUAUGCAACCUGUACAUAUAUGUAAGCGUCUCAAAAAAAAUAUUUUAGGGUUUCAUGACCCUUUAAUAACAGACACUUGUAAAUAGUUUGAAUCACAUGUUGAAUGCACUGACUUAAAAGAACUCCAAGAUACAAACCGAAAGGUCAAAAAUAUUCCAACCAUCUCCCCUAUAAAUGUCAUAUAAAACAAGGAAAUGUCAUGCUCUAUAAUAUAAUUGUCAUGUUUCUGUUCUGUGCUUUUACAUUUUGGUUUUCUCUGUAUUUCUGUUCCCCUGCAUUAGUUCCCUGGUUAAUCUGUAUCCUUAGUAAUUCAUUAGUCUCAUUGGAUGUUAAUUAGCCCCACACCUGUCCUGUUUCUCUCUGAUUGCAUUCUUCCCUGUAUUUAAGUCCUCUGUUUCCCUAAGCUCAUGAUCUGCUAUUAUUUGGAUUUAUGUUGCUGAGCACUUGAUACUGUUUGUUUAUGGACUUGUGGAUGUUCUCUUGGAUUUAUGAUUAAAAACUCCUUUUGGACUUUA